ACACGAAAAACUAGCUUUUUAUAAAAAAAAUGGGCAGUAGAGGUAUCAGUGAGAAAUAAUGAACAUUCUAAUAUAAAGAAAGCGCUUAUAACAAACUAAUAAGAAAAAAGUGAUGAGU